GUGGGGAAUCUUCCGCAAUGGACGAAAGUCUGACGGAGCAACGCCGCGUGAGUGAAGAAGGUUUUCGGAUCGUAAAGCUCUUUCGUUAGGGACGAACGUGCUCUUUGUGAAUAAUGAGGAGUAAUGACGGUACCUAAAUAAGAAGCCACGGCUAACUACGUGCCAGCAGCCGCGGUAAUACGUAGGUGGCAAGCGUUGUCCGGAAUUAUUGGGCGUAAAGCGCGCGCAGGCGGGAUAUCAAGUCUGUCUUAAAAGUGCGAGGCUCAACCUCGUGAGGGGACAGAAACUGGUAUUGUUGAGUGUCGGAGAGGAAAGUGGAAUUCCAAGUGUAGCGGUGAAAUGCGUAGAGAUUUGGAAGAACACCAGUGGCGAAGGCGACUUUCUGGACGAUGUCUGACGCUGAUGCGCGAAAGCUAGGGGAGCGAACGGGAUUAGAUACCCUGGUAGUCC
rnacentral:rRNA from 1 species